AAAUACAGGCCACCCACUUUCGUGGUCAAAACAGAUCAGUAAAAAGUUAAAUAUGGACAUUUCUUCCUUUUCUUAAUAUUUUAAAUGUUUAUUUAAAAUAUUUAAAACAUACCAAUGUCUAGCAAAAAACAAACAAAACUUUUUGUAUAUUCUGCAGUCAUUCUAUAAAGUCACUGUCUGUAAGUGGUAGGGGGAAGGUUAUCAAAACAAGCUGUCAAAAGUACUCACAAAAGGCCUUCAUCACCCUCCACUGAUGAAUGACCUUAAUGAACCUACCAUCGGGUCCAGCAGUCUUCCUCAAGAAAUAUUGCAGGAUGACCUCAGUGACCCUACAAUCGGACUCAGCAGGUUUUCUGAAGGAAACUCUGGAAGUGUUCCCAGGCGAGCAGGAAUCUUCUUGUUUUCACCACUGAUAUCACCCUUCAUCGACCCCCAUCGACAGUCAGAAAAGCCCUAUAUCUCCUUCUCAACCACUGACGGAAAAGGCCUUCAUUUUCCUCAGUUAUUUUUUUCUUCACAGAAGCUACACCUGGUCUUGCGCUGUCGUUUCUCAGCUUCACACACAGUUAUUUCUGAAUUAAGAUGCCAGCUGAUGCACUUCUGACUUUUUGUAACUUGACAUUAUUUAACCCAAACACACAGCGGGCUCAGUGUGUGUGUGUGUAUGUGUGUGGGUGUUUUUGGGUAUAAGUAGAGGUUCUGCUUAGCUUGCUCAAUAAUAAUUUGUAAAUGUGGAACAGCUAGUUGACCUUUGACCUCUAGAAACUUUUAUUAAUAUCUUUAAAAUAAUUCACUAACACAUUUUUGCUGUACAAAUGUUUGACACUAAUUUUGUUCUCUCAGGUUUCAGAAGCAGGUUGGAACAGAAAUGUCUUCAAUAAAUUAUCCAGACUCUGAUUAUUAAUUAUGCCCACUAACGAGCUCAGAGUUUUAACAAUGAACUGUGUUCAAUUCAUGGUUUCUGAAGAGAUUCCCUACUGCUUCAUUAACCAAUCACAGGUUGUGGAUCAUAGAGGGCAGAGGUUUGGGAUCAUAGUGGGCGAGGUGGGGGCAGACAAGACAGAAAACGGCGACCUGAUAGACCUUUUCUUUGGUCUUAGUGAAAAUAGAAACUGCUGGGAAGAUUCAGAGGAUGGAGCAGGCGGUUAAGUAGAGAAAAUUGUGGGUUCAAAUCCCUCUACAAGUCUUUAGAGUGGCGUUGCCUUGGUUUGGUACUCUGGUUUUCUCCUCUAGUCCAGAAUGUAAACGUUUCCCCAGACUUGGUUUGGCCACGACUUAAGAGCCAGAGAAACGCUAAAUACCAGCAGCUGAUAGGCAGUGGUGCUCUAAGACCUCAGCUGUUGCGUCCGUAUCAGCCACAGCCGAAUGGAUCGGGUCGGCCCCGGAAGACUGAGCAGCUCUCCCAGAACCUCCUGUCUGAUCUGAGUCAUGCCAGCACUCUCAGAGCGUUUAAUUAGCAGAAAUGUGGAAUAAGAAGCUGCCUGUUAGGAAAAGGUCACCUACCUUUGCUGAGAGAGAAAUAAAACUUUAUUACUUAAAGAGUUGUGUCUCUGUGGAAUCAGGCGCUGCAGCUUUAAAGCAGAGCAGAAACAUGUGAGUGAGUUUUUAUCUUCAGGCAGAUGAUGAAGAGGAGCUGAACAUCUUUACCUCAUCUGGAAACGUCUGAGAAACUGAAACUGAGUUCAGCCUUUCACUUUGCAGGCCUUUAAACUGCAGCUUAUUUUCUCCUUUAUUUGUGGAAAGACUGAGGGGGCAUGGGAAAACAAGGAGACAGUUUGGUCUUUGCCCAGGUUGCUUUAGCCAGAAAUUAAAGGUGGAAAAACAAAAAACAAACAAUAACCACAAAGUUUAUCAUUAAAAACCUCCGGAUAAAUUCCUGAAAUA